rnacentral:rRNA from 1 species
AUUGAACGCUGGCGGCAUGCCUUACACAUGCAAGUCGAACGGUAACAGGUCUUCGGAUGCUGACGAGUGGCGAACGGGUGAGUAAUACAUCGGAACGUGCCCGAUCGUGGGGGAUAACGAAGCGAAAGCUUUGCUAAUACCGCAUACGAUCUACGGAUGAAAGCAGGGGACCGCAAGGCCUUGCGCGAACGGAGCGGCCGAUGGCAGAUUAGGUAGUUGGUGGGAUAAAAGCUUACCAAGCCGACGAUCUGUAGCUGGUCUGAGAGGACGACCAGCCACACUGGGACUGAGACACGGCCCAGACUCCUACGGGAGGCAGCAGUGGGGAAUUUUGGACAAUGGGCGAAAGCCUGAUCCAGCCAUGCCGCGUGCAGGAUGAAGGCCUCGGUUGUAACUGCUUUGUACGACGAAAGACUCUGUUAAUACCUGGGUCAUGACGGUACCGUAAGAAUAAGCACGGCUAACUACGUGCCAGCAGCCGCGGUAAACG